rnacentral:rRNA from 1 species
GGUUAAGCGACUAAGCGUACACGGUGGAUGCCCUGGCAGUCAGAGGCGAUGAAGGACGUGCUAAUCUGCGAAAAGCGCCGGCGAGGUGAUAUGAACCUUUGACCCGGCGAUGUCCGAAUGGGGAAACCCAGUGUGUUCCGACACACUAUCGUUAACUGAAUACAUAGGUUAACGAGGCGAACCGGGGGAACUGAAACAUCUAAGUACCCCGAGGAAAAGAAAUCAACCGAGAUUCCCCCAGUAGCGGCGAGCGAACGGGGAGCAGCCCGGAGUCUGAAUCAGCUUGUGUGUUAGUGGAACGGUCUGGAAAGUCCGACGGUACAGGGUGAUAGUCCCGUACACGAAAACACACUUGCUGUGAACUCGAAGAGUAGGGCGGGACACGUGGUAUCCUGUCUGAAUAUGGGGGGACCAUCCUCCAAGGCUAAAUACUCCUGACUGACCGAUAGUGAACCAGUACCGUGAGGGAAAGGCGAAAAGAACCCCGGCGAGGGGAGUGAAAAAGAACCUGAAACCGUGUACGUACAAGCAGUGGGAGCCUCUUUAUGGGGUGACUGCGUACCUUUUGUAUAAUGGGUCAGCGACUUAUAUUCUGUAGCAAGGUUAACCGUAUAGGGGAGCCGAAGGGAAACCGAGUCUUAACUGGGCGUUAAGUUGCAGGGUAUAGACCCGAAACCCGGUGAUCUAGCCAUGGGCAGGUUGAAGGUUGGGUAACACUAACUGGAGGACCGAACCGACUAAUGUUGAAAAAUUAGCGGAUGACCUGUGGCUGGGGGUGAAAGGCCAAUCAAACCGGGAGAUAGCUGGUUCUCCCCGAAAGCUAUUUAGGUAGCGCCUCGUGAACUCAUCUUCGGGGGUAGAGCACUGUUUCGGCUAGGGGGCCAUCCCGGCUUACCAACCCGAUGCAAACUACGAAUACCGAAGAAUGUUAUCACGGGAGACACACGGCGGGUGCUAACGUCCGUCGUGAAGAGGGAAACAACCCAGACCGCCAGCUAAGGUCCCAAAGUCAUGGUUAAGUGGGAAACGAUGUGGGAAGGCACAGACAGCCAGGAUGUUGGCUUAGAAGCAGCCAUCAUUUAAAGAAAGCGUAAUAGCUCACUGGUCGAGUCGGCCUGCGCGGAAGAUGUAACGGGGCUAAACCAUGCACCGAAGCUGCGGCAGCGACACUAUGUGUUGUUGGGUAGGGGAGCGUUCUGUAAGCCGUUGAAGGUGUGCUGUGAGGCAUGCUGGAGGUAUCAGAAGUGCGAAUGCUGACAUAAGUAACGAUAAAGCGGGUGAAAAGCCCGCUCGCCGGAAGACCAAGGGUUCCUGUCCAACGUUAAUCGGGGCAGGGUGAGUCGACCCCUAAGGCGAGGCCGAAAGGCGUAGUCGAUGGGAAACAGGUUAAUAUUCCUGUACUUGGUGUUACUGCGAAGGGGGGACGGAGAAGGCUAUGUCAGCCGGGCGACGGUUGUCCCGGUUUAAGCAUGUAGGCGGAGGUUCCAGGUAAAUCCGGUACCUUAUUAACGCUGAGGUGUGAUGACGAGGCACUACGGUGCUGAAGUGAUAAAUGCCCUGCUUCCAGGAAAAGCCUCUAAGCAUCAGGUAACACGAAAUCGUACCCCAAACCGACACAGGUGGUCAGGUAGAGAAUACCAAGGCGCUUGAGAGAACUCGGGUGAAGGAACUAGGCAAAAUGGUGCCGUAACUUCGGGAGAAGGCACGCUGAUAUGUAGGUGAAG